AGUGAACGCUGGCGGUAGGCCUAACACAUGCAAGUCGAACGGCAGCACAGUAAGAGCUUGCUCUUACGGGUGGCGAGUGGCGGACGGGUGAGGAAUACAUCGGAAUCUACUUUUUCGUGGGGGAUAACGUAGGGAAACUUACGCUAAUACCGCAUACGACCUACGGGUGAAAGCAGGGGAUCUUCGGACCUUGCGCGAUUGAAUGAGCCGAUGUCGGAUUAGCUAGUUGGCGGGGUAAAGGCCCACCAAGGCGACGAUCCGUAGCUGGUCUGAGAGGAUGAUCAGCCACACUGGAACUGAGACACGGUCCAGACUCCUACGGGAGGCAGCAGUGGGGAAUAUUAGACAAUGGGCGCAAGCCUGAUCCAGCCAUACCGCGUGGGUGAAGAAGGCCUUCGGGUUGUAAAGCCCUUUUGUUGGGAAAGAAAAGCAGCAGGUUAAUACCCCGCUGUUCUGACGGUACCCAAAGAAUAAGCACCGGCUAACUUCG
rnacentral:rRNA from 1 species